rnacentral:tRNA from 1 species
GCCCGGUUGGCUCAGUCAGUUCAGUGUCUGACUUUGGCUCAGGUCAUGAUUUCAUGGCUCAGUUCAUGGGUUCGAGCCCCACAUCGGGCU